UAGGGAAUCUUCCACAAUGGGUCGAAAGCCUGAUGGAGCAACGCCGCGUGUGUGAUGAAGGGUUUCGGCUCGUAAAACACUGUUGUAAGAGAAGAAUGACAUUGAGAGUAACUGUUCAAUGUGUGACGGUAUCUUACCAGAAAGGAACGGCUAAAUACGUGCCAG
rnacentral:rRNA from 1 species